rnacentral:snoRNA from 1 species
UGAACAGUUGCAAAAAAUAAAUCUUCUUUUGCAACCCAGAACUCAUUGUUUGGUAUGAAUUUUGAUACAUAUAAGAAGGAAUAUU